UACGUAGGGACCGAGCGUUGUCCGGAUUCAUUGGGCGUAAAGAGCUCGUAGGCGGCCACUCAAGUCGAAUGUGAAACCUCGAGGCUUAACCUCGAGUCUGCAUUCGGUACUGGGCGGCUAGAGUCUGGUAGGGGGAUCUGGAAUUCCUGGUGUAGCGGUGGAAUGCGCAGAUAUCAGGAGGAACACCGGUGGCGAAGGCGGGAUCCUGGGCCAGUACUGACGCUGAGGAGCGAAAGCGUGGGGAGCAAACAGG
rnacentral:rRNA from 1 species